GACGAACGCUGGCGGCGUGCUUAACACAUGCAAGUCGAGCGGUAAGGCCCUUUCGGGGGUACACGAGCGGCGAACGAGGUGAGUAACACGGUGGGUCGACCUCGCCCUCAGCUCGUAGGGAAGUAACGCCGUACGGGAAACCGGGUACUAAUACCGGAUAUGACUCCAUGACGCAUGUUGGUGGGGUGGAAAGCCUUGUGCGGCUGAGGAU
rnacentral:rRNA from 1 species